CACAGUUAUCCAAUUUAUUUGUAUCAUCUGAACAUUUUGUAUGCUAAGGUCUGCAAGAAGCUUUCUCUGUUCCAUCUCAAAAAGUUUUGUAGUUAUUGUGAAGAUUAUAAACACCAAUUCCAUUGGUGAUCAGAUGGAAAUCUGUCUAUUUGCAGUAUCCUUUAGCAGAAUGAAUGAAAAAAGAUCCAGUCUUUCACAGAUCUUUGAAACAUCAAUAUCUGUGGCUACUAUAUUAUCAGUCACAACUAGUUCAACUUCAUCAUUGCAAAGCAAGAUCAUGAAGCAACAAAGAACUUAGGUGGAUCAAUACUGAAAAGACAUUCAAAAGAGACUCCAAC
rnacentral:lncRNA from 1 species